CUACGAAUUAUGGAGCUUUUUCUCAGGCCAACACACAUUUCUUUAUUGGUAAAUUAUCAGGCCAACCACUCACUGAAAUUAUAAUCUUGGGGCACUCAUAAACCUUAAACAUUCUCAUUUAAAUGAAAUGAUUAGUCAGUUAAUUGAUGAGCUCUUUGCUCAGAGCCAAACAGAUUUGCUAAGACAUCUCAUGUUGGUUAAACCUUUAUACAACUGUUGAAGUUCAGGCUCAGCGCUCAUAAUCAACCUCAUUUUCCAGUUACACAGCUCUGAUAUAACUGAAUGUAUACUACUGUACCUGUGCAGCACCAAACAGCAGACAUACUAAGUUAGCAACUUUAGCUACUUGAACAUAGUGAAGCACUUAGCAGCUAAAGAGGAAGAUAUUUCCAAAAUAAAGCCAAAAGAACAGUGAAUAUUGGAACUGCAUUCAUCAGGUGGCCAGCAUGAAUGAAUGCUAAGGUUAGAUGUGUCAGAUGGCAGCUGUUUGCUAACAUGUUCACUAUAUGGACGUAAAAAAUGAGGUUCAGUUUAACACAUUUGCACACUUCUUGUUGAAAAUGCCACUUUUUAUAUAGAAAAGUCAGAUGAAGGUUUGAUCUCUUUGUACUUUCAGGUACAGACGGACGGUGGAUCAGUCCGGGAUGGAAAAGGAAAAUCCUCGUCGUCAUCUUCCUCCUCCUGCUUUUCCAGAAAGCUAAAUUCCUCAAUCAAGAGGAGUCCCACGUACGUCCCUGAGGGAACCUAGUGUCAACUGUUAAAUGUGCAGCGACGUGUGAGGACGCAGAGUUGUGUGUUCGGACCGA
rnacentral:lncRNA from 15 species